GGAUGGACCAGUGCUCCACUCCCCAGUUUAGCGGUUUUCUUGGUAGACAUAGAUCCAGGCCAGGGUUUUUGGACUGUCUCCAACCCACUGCUCAGCUGCAGGUAAUCAGCUGCAGCAGUGGGAAUAAACCCCUCCCUGCUAGGCAGGUAAGGGGAAAAUGUGUGUUUUCUCUCUUGAAGAGCUGGAACCAGCAGGCUGACUAAACACUGGAGUGCUGAG